AUGCGCAGCCAGUGUUAAUUGUAAUGUUUUGAUAUUUUAUAAAUCCACUUUAGUUUUGAACGUUUCGUUACUGAAAAUUAUUGUGGACUACCUAUGGUAAAUUAUAGUCUAGAAGUAGGUACGAGCCGAUUCAUAAGUUCCAUUGGUCAUUAUACCUUAUUGCAGUUAUUUAUAGUCAAUCGUGGUUCUAACGCUGACCACAUUUAACCAACUUACCAACAACAAAACUUAACCUGACCAUCCCAAGUCUCGCGUAGUUCUCACUGCACGUAUCUUUUCCGUUUUCUGCUCAUUAUUUUUGUUCCAUCGUAUUGAUUUUUUUCAUUCGAUAAGGCAGACAGCCGAUUCGUCAUGGCGGUUGCCGGCGAUGCCGUCGACAACGAAUUGACCGUCGACAACAAAAUCGACGAAGUAUUGCUCAAUCUCGUACUGCAAAAGAAACUCGAAGUGUCCACCGUCAUUAAAGUCGACGGUAUUCCUAAGGUCGGACACAAAGGCUUCGUCCGUCUCCAACAAUUUAUUACCAAAAUAUUUACGCAGUUCGGUAAGAUCCUCAGAGAUUACUAUCCAAAAUCUGAAAAGGGCGACACUAAAGGUUACUUAUUCAUUGAAUACGAAGAACACGAAAGCGCAUUGAGAGCUGUUAAGAGAGCUAAUAAUUUCCAAUUCUGUGAACUUACUUUAUUAGUGCAAUUAGUUUCUGAAUGUAAAACAAUAGCAACCCUGCUACAGCCAAUACCAGGCAAUAAUGAGCAACAUUUCUCGAGUAAACCUAUUACAUAUGAUCAGUAUCAUGUAAACAAGAGUUUAUACAUCCGUAUUCAAGAUUGGAUGAAUAACAUUCCACAUAUACCAGAUUCAGAAAAAUGUAAAAUGAUUGCAGAAGCCCAAUUGGCCAUGGCCAAGAAUAAUGUUUCCAAGAAGUUUUGAAAACUUUUAUUAGUUACCUGGAUAUUUACAUUGACUAUGACUAACACAAAAGAGCCUUGGAUGCUGUUGCGCAAGCUAUUAAUUAGCAAACAUAAAAGUUUCUUAAUACAAUUAUUUUUUGACUAUAAAAUCACACUGUGAAUUCAUAUCAAUAUUGCAUUUUUGUCAUAACAUAAGAGGGCCAAAUUGAAAUAUUUAAUAUAGUAUUAUAAUUUGUCAACAAUUCAAACAAUCUUGAUUCUUUUUAGUUUUUAAUAUUCGUAUAUACUCAGCUUACCUUGGUUGAUUGCUAUUUAUGAACUGAAUUCAUAUGUAUUUUUUUUAUUUUUUUUUAGCUGUAUUUUUAUGAUUAAUUAUAUCUAACUAAUGAUUUUUCGGCCUGUAAGAAAUGUGUAUACUGAAUCUGCAGUCUCUUAAUUUCCUUAACUCUGUGAAUUGCUACUAGGCCAUGGCCAUGACUCAUGGGUAAAUUAAAAUAUAUUAUAUCAACAUUAUUUUCAAUAUUUACAUGUUUUGAACAAGUGAAUUAUGUGUGCUAGUAUUUAUGCUUUAGGCAUAAUAAUUCUUAUAAAAUGAUAUGGUACUUAUGACGAGUUACAUGAACAAUCUCUAAACAUAUAACAAAUCAAUAUUGAGCUAAACGUUGUUAAACAUAAUUUAGUGGCCCAUGAUUGGUCUAUUAAAUGUUAUUGAACCAUCAAAUUAAUACAUUUUUAUUCAUUAUAAACCCAUCAUUAGUAUAUAAAAUAAGUCUGCAUUAAGUAAAAUAACAACUAAU